rnacentral:lncRNA from 1 species
GUUGUCAGAGGCGUCUGUGUCGCGAUUUUCUUUUCAAUUCCCGUAAAUUUCGCAAAAUUUAAUUCCCUCUACCAUUUUCUUUUCACUUCCUACACUAAGUUCCGUUUAUUAAGUUCGAACAUUAAAAUCUGUUUUUUCCUUAUUUUUAUUUUGUUUUAUUUUUCUGUUUUUCCUAAUUUUUUUUUUAAGUUUUUUUUCCUGUGGUCGGUGCGAAGCGGUCUCAAAGAAUACGCGUACGAGAUCAUAUGCAUUGAUUUCAAACGGCUCGAAGGGAAAAAUCAGCUUCUGUUGCUUCAAAAUGGCCGAGAACUUUGUACUCGCUGUUUAUUAGUAUUAGAAUUUAGUUUGUAGUGAUUUUUUGAUUGUAUAGAAUCAUUUAAAAGUAACUUAUUAAUUAGUAUAAGUUUUAAUUAAUGUCGAUAAUCUUUUCCAAUGUAAUAUUAUUUUAAAAAUUAUAUAAAAACACGAUUUUAAAAU